GACGAACGCUGGCGGCGUGCCUAAUACAUGCAAGUCGAGCGCAGGAAACCGUCUGAACCCUUCGGGGGGACGACGGUGGAAUGAGCGGCGGACGGGUGAGUAACACGUAAAGAACCUGCCCACGGGUCUGGGAUAACCACGAGAAAUCGGGGCUAAUACCGGACGGGUCAUCGGACCGCAUGGUCUGAGGAUGAAAGGCGCUCCGGCGUCGCCCGUGGAUGGCUUUGCGGUGCAUUAGCUAGUUGGUGGGGUAACGGCCCACCAAGGCGACGAUGCAUAGCCGACCUGAGAGGGUGAUCGGCCACACUGGGACUGAGACACGGCCCAGACUCCUACGGGAGGCAGCAGUAGGGAAUCUUCCACAAUGGACGAAAGUCUGAUGGAGCAACGCCGCGUGAACGAUGAAGGCCCUCGGGUCGUAAAGUUCUGUUGUAAGGGAAGAACAAGUGCCGCAGGCAAUGGCGGCACCUUGACGGUACCUUGCGAGAAAGCCACGGCUAACUACGUGCCAGCCGCCGCCGUAA
rnacentral:rRNA from 1 species